rnacentral:rRNA from 1 species
CGCGUGGGGGAGGAAGCCUUUGGGUUGUAAACCCCUUUUCUCAGGGAAGAAGAAAGUGACGGUACCUGAGGAAUCAGCCUCGGCUAACUCCGUGCCAGCAGCCGCGGUAAUACGGAGGAGGCAAGCGUUAUCCGGAAUGAUUGGGCGUAAAGCGUCCGUAGGUGGCUGUUCAAGUCUGCUGUUAAAUCCAGUAGCUCAACUACUGACAAGCAGUGGAAACUGAAGAGCUGGAGUGCGGUAGGGGCAGAGGGAAUUCCUGGUGUAGCGGUGAAAUGCGUAGAGAUCAGGAAGAACACCGGUGGCGAAAGCGCUCUGCUGGGCCGCAACUGACACUCA